GACGAACGCUGGCGGCGUGCCUAAUACAUGCAAGUAGAACGCUGAAGAGAGGAGCUUGCUCUUCUUGGAUGAGUUGCGAACGGGUGAGUAACGCGUAGGUAACCUGCCUGGUAGCGGGGGAUAACUAUUGGAAACGAUAGCUAAUACCGCAUAAAAUGGAUUAUCGCAUGAUAAUCCAUUGAAAGGUGCAAAUGCAUCACUACCAGAUGGACCUGCGUUGUAUUAGCUAGUUGGUGGGGUAACGGCUCACCAAGGCGACGAUACAUAGCCGACCUGAGAGGGUGAUCGGCCACACUGGGACUGCGACACGGCCCAGACUCCUACGGGAGGCAGCAGUAGGGAAUCUUCGGCAAUAGACGGAAGUCUGACCGAGCAACGCCGCGUGAGUGAAGAAGGUUUUCGGAUCGUAAAGCUCUGUUGUAAGAGAAGAACGAGUGUGAGAGUGGAAAGUUCACACUGUGACGGUAUCUUACCAGAAAGGGACGGCUAACUACGUG
rnacentral:rRNA from 1 species